AUUGAACGCUGGCGGCAUGCCUUACACAUGCAAGUCGAACGGCAGCACGGGAGCAAUCCUGGUGGCGAGUGGCGAACGGGUGAGUAAUAUAUCGGAACGUGCCCAGUCGUGGGGGAUAACGUAGCGAAAGCUACGCUAAUACCGCAUACGAUCUAUGGAUGAAAGUGGGGGAUCGCAAGACCUCGCGCGAUUGGAGCGGCCGAUAUCAGAUUAGGUAGUUGGUGAGGUAAAGGCUCACCAAGCCGACGAUCUGUAGCUGGUCUGAGAGGACGACCAGCCACACUGGGACUGAGACACGGCCCAGACUCCUACGGGAGGCAGCAGUGGGGAAUUUUGGACAAUGGGCGCAAGCCUGAUCCAGCAAUGCCGCGUGCAGGAUGAAGGCCUCGG
rnacentral:rRNA from 1 species